rnacentral:rRNA from 1 species
UACGUAGGCAGCAAGCGUUGUUCGGAAUUACUGGGCGUAAAGAGUGUGUAGGCGGUGCUCUAAGUUCGGUGUGAAAUCUCCUGGCUUAACUGGGAGGGUGCGCCGGAAACUGGAGUGCUCGAGCGUGGGAGAGGAAAGCGGAAUUCCUGGUGUAGCGGUGAAAUGCGUAGAUAUCAGGAGGAACACCUGCGGUGUAGACGGCUUUCUGGACCAUAGCUGAAGCUGAGACACGAAAGCGUGGGUAGCAAACAGG